rnacentral:rRNA from 1 species
CGUAGGUGGCGAGCGUUGUCCGGAUUUACUGGGCGUAAAGGGAGCGUAGGCGGACUUUUAAGUGAGAUGUGAAAUACCCGGGCUCAACUAGGGUGCUGCAUUUCAAACUGGAAGUCUAGAGUGCAGGAGAGGAGAAUGGAAUUCCUAGUGUAGCGGUGAAAUGCGUAGAGAUUAGGAAGAACACCAGUGGCGAAGGCGAUUCUCCGGACUGUAACUGACGCUGAGGCUCGAAAGCGUGGGGAGCAAACAGGAUUAGAUACCCUGGUA